ACACACACACACACACUUUCUCUCUCUAAAACCCUCUCAGUCUCUCUCUGGAAUUGACAAAGAUGAAGUCUAUGCAGCCUCCAAGGAGAAAAGCGCCUCCGCCUUCAGAUCUAACUAUAAGGCCUUGGAUUCAAAGCCUUCGCCGGCGGCUAAGUUGAAGAGUCUGUUGCCGCCAAGGCCGCCGCCGUCAAAUCCUCUCAAACGUAAGCUGAGACGCUUCCUAAGAACUCCGUCCAUGAAGCCUCUGGAUCUCUUCGUCGAGUGAUUGAGUUUCUGGGCUGCGUUCCUCUGCUUCAGCGCCUACCCAGCUCCUCGCUCAAGAAAAUCGCCCAGCUCGUAAUUCCAAAGCACUAUGGUGAAUCCCACAACCUCAUUUUUUACUGUGCUAUGAAAUUUCAAUUGUGGUUUUGUAUGCUCUCAGGGAUGGCACUGUCAGUUGACUGAAGAACAAUUUAUCGCUGUGAAGGAACUGCUGAAAACAGCUAUCAGUCGUGCAACGUCCAGAAAUGAUUGGAUGACUAUCAGAGAUGCCCUUGAGGUGUCUGCUGAAAUAUUUAAGAAGGAUGGAAAUAAUGUUUCAGAUUAUGUUCAGCGUCAACUUAUAUCUUUGUCCAUUUGGGAGGAAUUACGGUAUGUUGUUACAAGUCGUUUGGCCCCAGUUUCUUCAAACAACUGAUUGUGAUGGUCUAUAAGUUUUGCUUAUCCGUUUUAAAAACCGGUUGUUAAUUCUUCUUGUUGGACCAUCACAUUAUCAAUUUUAAUGCUUAGGUCAAACCUCAAAUUGAAAAAAGAAAAAGAAAAAAGAAGGUCUUAUAUGUGUUGAUCAGUUGCAGAACAUGGAAUAAGUCAUUACAGUUUCAGUCUCCUUUGGUGUUCAGAGCUACAGAACUAUUAUAUAAUAUCAGGUGUAACUAAGUAAACCGAAUGGUUUUGUUGGAAUUCAUCAUCAGUGCAGAGAUAUAUAAGAAUUGUGAGAGGAACGAUGAAUGAUAUAUAUUGAUAAGAAACAUGCUAGCAGCACAUGAAACCUAA